rnacentral:rRNA from 1 species
GAUGAACGCUGGCGGCGUGCCUAAUACAUGCGAGUCGAGCGAACAGACGAGGAGCUUGCUUCUCUGAUGUUAGCGGCGGACGGGUGAGUAACACGUGGAUAACCUACCUAUAAGACUGGGAUAACUUCGGGAAACCGGAGCUAAUACCGGAUAAUAUUUUGAACCGCAUGGUUCAAAAGUGAAAGACGGUCUUGCUGUCACUUAUAGAUGGAUCCGCGCCGCAUUAGCUAGUUGGUAAGGUAACGGCUUACCAAGGCAACGAUGCGUAGCCGACCUGAGAGGGUGAUCGGCCACACUGGAACUGAGACACGGUCCAGACUCCUACGGGAGGCAGCAGUAGGGAAUCUUCCGCAAUGGGCGAAAGCCUGACGGAGCAACGCCGCGUGAGUGAUGAAGGUCUUCGGAUCGUAAAACUCUGUUAUUAGGGAAGAACAAAUGUGUAAGUAACUGUGCACAUCUUGACGGUACCUAAUCAGAAAGCCACGGCUAACUACGUG